GCUUCCAUAGCUCAGUCGGUAGAGCACUUCCAUGGUAAGGAAGAGGUCAUCGGUUCAAGCCCGGUUGGGAGCU
rfam:Bacillus cibi strain DSM 16189 Contig18, whole genome shotgun sequence.